rnacentral:misc_RNA from 1 species
GUAUUAGAUGCGUUAGACGCGGUAUACAUUCUGAACUUUAUAGAGUGUGUGAAAACGUAGGACCGAAUCGGGGUUUCAAGAGAGGUGUGUUCGCCUUUACGGCUACUAAAAUCUCUCUUCCUCCCUCUUCAGAACUACCGAAGGUGCACAGGUGUGAGAUGGACGAGAAAGAGGUGUGCACAUGCCCCGGAAGGCCAGCGACAACCUCGUUCGAACUCGUUAAUGAUCCUUCCGCAGGUUCACCUACGGAAA